rnacentral:sRNA from 1 species
AAGGACGAUGUGUUCUCUGAUAACGAAGGAGACUCAACUGGCC